rnacentral:rRNA from 1 species
UACGUAGGGUGCAAGCGUUGUCCGGAAUUAUUGGGCGUAAAGAGCUCGUAGGCGGUCUGUCGCGUCGGAUGUGAAAAUCCAGGGCUCAACCCUGGACCUGCAUUCGAUACGGGCAGACUAGAGUUCGGUAGGGGAGACUGGAAUUCCUGGUGUAGCGGUGAAAUGCGUAGAUAUCAGGAGGAACACCGGUGGCGAAGGCGGCUCUCUGGACGGUGACUGACGCUGAGACGCGAAAGCGUGGGGAGCAAACAGG